rnacentral:rRNA from 1 species
UCGCUUUGGGAGGAGCUCGCUUACUAUCAGCUUGUUGGUAGGGUAACGGCCUACCAAGGCUAUGACGGUUAGGGGGUGUGAGAGCAUGACCCCCAGCAUUGGCACUGAAACACUGGCCAAACACCUACGGGUGGCUGCAGUCGAGAAUCUUCCACAAUGGGGGAAACCCUGAUGGAGCGAUGCUGCGUGCGGGAUGAAGGCCUUCGGGUUGUAAACCGCUUUUGUAGGGGACGAAAUUUUUGACGGUACCCUUUCGAAUAAGAGGUUGCUAACUCUGUGCCAGCAGCAGCGGUAAUACAGAGACCUCAAGCGUUAUCCGGAUUUACUGGGCGUAAAGCGUCUGUAGGGGGUUUAUUAAGUUCCAAGUAAAAUUUCAAGGCUCAACUUUGAAUUCGCUUGGAAAACUAAUAAACUGGAGUCUAGCAGAGGUGCAUGGAACUUGUGGUGUAGGAGUGAAAUCCGUUGAUAUCAUAAGGAACACCAAAGGCGAAGGCAUUGCACUGGGCUAGCACUGACCCUGAGAGACGAAAGCGUGGGGAGCAAAACGGAUUAGAUACCCGUGUAGUCCACGCCCUAAACGAUGAAUGCUAAAUGUUCGGGGAUUCGACCCCCUGGGUGUUACAGCUAACGCGUUAAGCAUUCCGCCUGGGAAGUACGGCCGCAAGGCUAAAACUCAAAGGAAUAGACGGGGAUCCGCACAAGCGGUGGGGCGUCUGGUUUAAUUCGACAGUAAGCGUGGUACCUCACCAGGGUUUGACAUCCCUUGACAGCCUUGGAAACAAGGUUUCCUUCGGGCAAGGUGACAGGUGCUGCAUGGUCGUCGUCAGUUCGUGCCGUGAGGUGUUCCGUUAAGUCGGGAAACGAACGAAACCCCUAUUGCAUGUUACAAUUUCUCAUGCAAGACUGCCCGGAUAUACUGGGAGGAAGGUGGGGAUGACGUCAGAUCUGCAUGGUCCUUAUACCCUGGGCGACACAGGCGCUACAAUGGCAGAGACAAAGGGUUGCAAAACCGCAAGGUGAAGCUAAUCCCAAAAACUUUGUCUAAGUUCGGAUUGAAGGCUGCAAUUCGCCUUCAUGAAGCUGGAAUCGCUAGUAAUCGUGAAUCAGCCACGUCACGGUGAAUAUGUUCCCGGAUCUUGUACUCACCGCCCGUCACACCAAGAGAGUUGGUAGCUCCCGAAGCGUCCCGUUUUAGCGGGGC